rnacentral:rRNA from 1 species
UACGUAGAGGGCAAGCGUUGUUCGGAAUUACUGAGCGUAAAGGGCGCGUAGGCGGUACAGCAAGUCGGGAGUGAAAGCCCGAAGCUCAACCCCGGAAUGGCUUUCGAAACUGCUGAACUAGAGUGCGGAAAGGGCAACUGGAAUUCCCAGUGUAGCGGUGAAAUGCGUAGAUAUUGGGAAGAACACCUGAGGCGAAGGCGGGUUGCUGGGCCGACACUGACGCUGAGGCGCGAAAGCCAGGGGAGCAAACGGG